GCUUACGGCCACACCGACCUGAGUACGCCUGAUCUCGUCCGAUCUCGGAAGCUAAGCGGGGUCGGGCCUGGUUAGUACUUGGAUGGGAGACCGCCUGGGAAUACCAGGUGCUGUAAGCU
rnacentral:rRNA from 1 species